UGGUGCAAAAGAAAUUGCGGUUUUUGCCAUUAAAAGUAAUGGCAAAAACGGCAAUUACUUUUGCACC
rnacentral:miRNA from 1 species